rnacentral:rRNA from 1 species
GGAGGAAGAGAAACUAACAAGGAUUCCCCUAGUAACUGCGAGUGAAGCGGGAAAAGCUCAAAUUUAAAAUCUGGCGGUCUUCUGGCCGUCCGAGUUGUAGUCUGGAGAAGUGUUAUCCGCGUCGGACCGUGUACAAGUCUCCUGGAAUGGAGCGUCAUAGAGGGUGAGAAUCCCGUCCAUGACACGGACGCCCGAUGCUUUGUGAGGCACUCUCGAAGAGUCGAGUUGUUUGGGAAUGCAGCUCAAAAUGGGUGGUAAAUUCCAUCUAAAGCUAAAUAUUGGCGAGAGACCGAUAGCGAACAAGUACCGUGAGGGAAAGAUGAAAAGCACUUUGGAAAGAGAGUUAAACAGUACGUGAAAUUGUUGAAAGGGAAACGCUUGAAGUCAGUCGCGUCCCGUAGAACUCAGCCUGGCUUCGGUCUGGUGUAUUUUCUAUGUGGACGGGUCAACAUCAGUUUUGGCCGGUGGAAAAAGGCAGAGGGAAUGUAGCGCCGCUUCGGUGGCGUGUUAUAGCCCUUUGUCAAAUACACUGGCUGGGACUGAGGACCGCAGCACGCCCUUGUGGCCGGGGGUUCGCCCCACGUACCGUGCUUAGGAUGUUGGCAUAAUGGCUUUAAGCGACCCGUCUUGAAACACGGACCAAGGAGUCCAACAUGCUUGCGAGUGUUCGGGUGGAAAACCCUUGCGCGUAAUGAAAGUGAAAGUUGGGAACCUCCGCAAGGGGGUGCACCGACGCCCGGCCCUGACGUUCUCUGACGGUGCUGCGGUAGAGCAAGUAUGCUGGGACCCGAAAGAUGGUGAACUAUGCCUGAAUAGGGCGAAGCCAGAGGAAACUCUGGUGGAGGCUCGUAGCGAUUCUGACGUGCAAAUCGAUCGUCAAAUUUGGGUAUAGGGGCGAAAGACUAAUCGAACCAUCU